UAAGACGGGGGGGGCGAGCGUUGUUCGGAAUUACUGGGCGUAAAGGGCGCGCAGGCGGCCUGGGAAGUUUUGGGUGAAAGCCCCCGGCUCAACCGGGGAAUGGCCUGAGAAACCACCGGGCUGGAGUGCUGGAGAGGGAAGCGGAAUUCCCGGUGGAGCGGUGAAAUGCGUAGAUAUCGGGAGGAACACCGGAGGCGAAGGCGGCUUCCUGGACAGACACUGACGCUGAGGCGCGAAAGCUAGGGGAGCAAACGGGAUUAGAUACCCCGGUAGUCCUAGCCGUAAACGAUGGGUACUAGGUGUGGGAGGUUAUUAAAAGUCCUUCCGUGUCGGCGAUAACUCAAUAAGUACCCCGCCUGGGGAGUACGGUCGCAAGGCUG
rnacentral:rRNA from 1 species